GGCAUCCAGGAGCUGAGCACUGUCGCCCCAGCCUUAGUCCCAAGCCACACUCCUUCGCUCCAUCCACCCUGCAGCCGGACAGAACAAAUCACAAGGCUCAUCAUGAAGCUUUGGAGAGAGAAGUUCUAACACUGAACGGCACAACACAGUUCUUACAUGGUGACCACAUAUCUAAACCUACAAGAACCAGGACGGAAAGAUGCAGUGCAAUAAAAUCACAGAUCUCUAGUCUCUUGAGACCUAAGACAAA
rnacentral:lncRNA from 1 species